GAUGAACGCUGGCGGCGUGCCUAAUACAUGCAAGUCGAGCGAACAGACGAGGAGCUUGCUCCUCUGACGUUAGCGGCGGACGGGUGAGUAACACGUGGAUAACCUACCUAUAAGACUGGGAUAACUUCGGGAAACCGGAGCUAAUACCGGAUAAUAUAUUGAACCGCAUGGUUCAAUAGUGAAAGACGGUUUUGCUGUCACUUAUAGAUGGAUCCGCGCCGCAUUAGCUAGUUGGUAAGGUAACGGCUUACCAAGGCAACGAUGCGUAGCCGACCUGAGAGGGUGAUCGGCCACACUGGAACUGAGACACGGUCCAGACUCCUACGGGAGGCAGCAGUAGGGAAUCUUCCGCAAUGGGCGAAAGCUUGACGGAGCAGCGCCGCGUGAGUGAUGAAGGUCUUCGGAUCGUAAAACUCUGUUAUUAGGGAAGAACAAAUGUGUAAGUAACUAUACACGUCUUGACGGUACCUAAUCAGAAAGCCACGGCUAACUACGUG
rnacentral:rRNA from 1 species